UACGUAGGGGGCAAGCGUUGUCCGGAUUUAUUGGGCGUAAAGAGCGUGUAGGCGGCCAGGUAGGUCUGCUGUGAAAACUCGAGGCUCAACCUCGAGACGCCGGGCGGAAACCAUCUGGCUAGAGUCCGGAAGAGGAGAGUGGAAUUCCUGGUGUAGCGGUGAAAUGCGCAGAUAUCAGGAAGAACACCCGUGGCGAAGGCGGCUCUCUGGGACGGUACUGACGCUGAGACGCGAAAGCGUGGGGAGCGAACAGG
rnacentral:rRNA from 1 species